rnacentral:misc_RNA from 1 species
UCCCCGUUACCGGGGCAGUCUGACUAGAAAAAUCCAACUAGCCAUAAGGGUUGCGCUCGUUGAUGGACUUAACCAAACAUCUCACGACACGAGCUGACGACGGCCAUGCAUCACCUGUCACUGCUUGCCCCAUACUCACUUUGAUGGGAUCUGAAAUUUAUUCAGCAUCAAAAUGACUAUGGGGCACAUUUUCCUUUCGGAAAACUUGGCAGGAUGUCAAACCCUGGUAAGGUUCUUCGCUUAUCAUCGAAUUAAACAACACGCUCCACCGCUUGUGCGGGUCCCCGUCAAUUCCUUUGAGUUUUAAUCUUGCGACCGUACUCCUCAGGCGGGAUGCUUAACGCGUUAGCUUCGCAACUGAGAGGGUCGAUACCCCCAACUGCUAGCAUCCAUAGUUUAC